ensembl:lncRNA
UAAGUUUGCAAGUUUCUUCAGGUUUGUUGUUUUCUCAUAAGGUGUUCAGAUGCAAACAUGACAAGCCUGGUAAGGAAGCUACCAUACCCUGUUCUAGAAGUAUUGUGCUGCUGAUACAAGAGAGUGCAGAAGUGCUCUGCUGUUCCCCCGUGUCCCACCAACUACAGCCAGCAACUACAGCUGCUAUGUGUUAGCCAACUUACAAUUAAACAGUUGUGGUAAAAGAUAAGAACAAUCAGAAAUCUUCUGGCCAUCCUUUUUGGACCAAUAGCUCUGCUUAUCAGCACCAAAAUGCAUUUCUUGGGCCUAAUAUGGUAUAACACAGUUGUCUUAAUGUGGACAACUGUGUAUUUUUCCAAUUAUCCAAAUGCUUUCUGAGGCCUUGUAUCUGUGACUAUAGUCUGAAAAACACAUCCAUUUAAUUUUAAUGUUUUGCUUCCUACUCCUCACUUUCUUGUGCUGUGAGUACAUAGUUGUUGAGAUUGGAAGGGAUUCUGACAAUCACCUGUAUCACUACUUACAAGCCUCCAAUGGGACACUUAGUCACUAAUAGCAAGCCUCUGGGCAUGGCAUUUCACCUGUUCUGCAGUCUUAUCUAGUCUGCACUUUGUCAGCUUGCUUGUAAGGGUGUUUUGAAAGAGUGUCAAAAGUCUUAUUGAAGUCAAGGUAAAUGUAACCAACAACCAACUGCUCCCCCUCAUCUGCUAAGUUACAUGUCAUAGGAGGCUGGAAAGCUGGUCAGUCAUGAUUUCCCCAUCAUAUACCCAUGCUGACUGCUCCCAAACACUUUCUUGUUCUUCACGUGUCUGGAAAUGGCUUCCAGGGCUAUUUAAAUUAGAUUAACAGGAAUGGAGCUGAGGUUGACUGGCCUGUACUUUGCCCUUCCUGAAGACAGGUGUGACCUUCCAGUUCUCAGAAACCUCUCUAGUUUCUCAUGACCUUUCCAAGAUAACUGGGAUUGUCUUUGCAACAUCAGCCAGCUCCCUUAGCAGCAGUGGGUGCAUCCAGUCAACCACCAUGGACUUGUUACAGGUAACAGUGCUGUGGUGAGGAGAAUGGGGACGAGGAUAGCCUUCGUCUGAAAUCAACGGGACCUCCAGCCAGGGGAAGGUAGUUGAAUUCUCCUUCCUGGUAUGGAUUGAGUGGAG